GACGAACCGUGCAAACGUUGUUCGGAUUCACUGGGCUUAAAGGGUGCGUAGGCGGACGGUCAAGUCAGGGGUGAAAUCCUCCCGCUUAACGGGAGAAGUGCCUUUGAUACUGGCCGUCUCGAGGGAGGUAGGGGCAUGUGGAACUUCCGGUGGAGCGGUGAAAUGCGUAGAUAUCGGAAGGAACAUCAGUGGCGAAAGCGACUUCCUGGACCAAUACUGACGCUCAUGUGCGAAAGCGUGGGGAGCAAACAGG
rnacentral:rRNA from 1 species